CCUAUCACACAUUUUUUUUCUCCUGUUCUCCUCACUCUACCGUGUACCCUCUUCCUCCACCAUCAUCUCAACUUCACUUGCAGCCACCUCCGAUCACCAGCUGACCACCUUAUUUUGGAACUAUCUUUGAAGGUCUCUACAAGUUGGUUGGCUCAUUGGAUAGUACUUGGAGAUUAUUGCUUAAUCUUGUGAAGUUUGUGUCUACAAGAGGUCAAGAGGAUAUUCAGGAUCGAUUGUCGGAGGCGUGACAGUGCAGUGGAGUCUACGUCUAUUAGAUUUAUAUUUCUUGUCUUUAUUUAGGAUUUAGACUUGUUAAACUAUGGAAAUUUGGCACGUUUCUCAAUCACCAUUGACUUGAGCUAUUUUUGUAAUACUCCGUAUUUUUGGGUCCGUUAAAACGGACAAGUGUCCUUAGUAGUACCAUCCAUUGAGUCAUAUAGUGUUAUGAAUAUAGAUCAUAAAAGAAUAGUAAAUUGAAUAGAAGGGUAAAGCUGUAAAUAGAUUGUGGCAUAAUUGUAA